UGCUUUCUUUGAUUCUAAGCAUCUUUUACUUGAUCCCUCAUCAAGGUUACUGCAGUAUUCAGUUUACAGGGGUCUUUAAUAUCUGUAAAGAGCACCAUAAAUGCACUGGCCACCACAAGGUCACAAGGGGAAGAUCAUGAAAGAAUAGAUUUUGUUUUUUGUUAUGUGUCAAUAAAACGAUCAGCCUCAUUCUCUUUUUGGGUUCUUGUGGUGUUAACCCAAAACCCCCUGGGCUGCAGAAGGAAUUCUCCCUCCUGUCUGUUUUCAAGGCUAAGUAAGUACAAGAUCUGAAUUUUAAAGUUUUCAAAACAACCCCAUCAAAUCACUCCCAGGAAUUUUUAACACUUACAGUAAGACCCUAUUAUCCCUGCUGAUCUCACUGGCUUGGUGGUGAGGAAAUAAAAGUUAGAAAGUGACACUGAAAUUGCUUCCUUUCUCUACACCAACUUGCAUCUUUAAAUCUGCACUUCAGAUCAGAGGGGGAAAGAGAUGAAAUAGAAGGUAAAGGGAAAAUGUCACUCCGGAAUGAUCUGAAUUCACUCAAGAAACGGAGAGUGAAAUUAAAGUGGCUUAAAGAAGAACUAAGUGGCUUUCAGGAUGCUGCCUCCACGUUCCCUCUGGAGAAGAAGAGGAGGUGGGUUUAAACAGCAGGAAGUGAUUCUGGCAUGGAAGACUUCAGGACAGAAGGGCAGCUCUGGAAACUUAGAUAUCGGUGGGACCUGAGAACCACCCUGCCCCCAUGUUAUUCAAACAGCGAGAUAGAAUACGUAAGAAACUUCGGGCAGGUGUGGAUGAACAUUUCUGAUGUUUACAGUUACUUAGUGUGGAUUAGGAAAAACAUAACUGAUCUCCUGUCUCAGUUGGUGGCAGCUUCAUCCUUCUAGCUGCUCAAGCAAAAACACUGGAGUAAUUAUGCCUCCUCCUUUUAUCUCAUACCCCAGGUUCGAUCCACCAGGAACUCUGGAUUGACCUUCAAACCAUACCCAGAGUCAGCCACUCAUCACUACCUUCCUGGCUUCACACUGCUCUGAGCCACCGCGAUCCCUUCCUUAGAUAACUGCUUGUACCUCCAGAGGAGGCUGUGAGAGUGGAGCAUAAAUGAGCAAGGGCCCCAGAUGCUGCGCUUUGAAAUCCAUCCCUCAUUCUCACCGAGGCCAUGCCUCCCACAACCUCUCUCACCUGCCAAGCACUGGUGCAGCAGGGUCCGUAGGGCAGACCUGUUCCUGGGAGAUGGGAACUCCUCUGUCAGCAGACUUCAACUGAAAGACCCUCCCAUGGCUUUGCCAAACCUUUCUUAGACAGUACAGGACACUUCCUCUUCCACCUGGUCUCCUCCCUCUCCCCUUCACUGGGGACUUGCAUCAUAGUGUCUCCCACGAUGGCUCUCCCAGUCUUCCUGGACACUCCCAACCCCUACAAUUUUCUCUCACAUUGUCAUUUCCCCUAAUAAAAUCCUCACAUGUUUAAGAUCAUCUUGGCAUCUGCUUCUGGGAGGAUCUAGACUGAUACACACUCUAACUGGUCUCCCUGCCCUUGACCCUCCCCUAGCCCAGUCUAUUUUCAACACAGUAACUAGAGUGAUACUUUUAAACUCAGAUCCUAACUUCAAAAUACUGCAAAAGUCUCCCCAUUUCAUUAACAGUAAAGGCCAAGGUCCUUAAAAAUGCCCUCAUGAUCUACCAUCACCUGCUCCCCAUUACUACUCUGGCCUCAUCUUCAACAACUCUCAUCCUGGCUCACUCCUCUCCUACCACAUAGCAUCCUUGCUCUUUCUUGUUCGUAUCAGACACUGCUGCCUCAGGGCCUUUGCACAAACUGCUCUUUCUGCCUGGAAUAUGCUUCAUCCAGAUUCUGCAUAGCUAAGCCCCUCAUCUCCUUCAAGUGUUUGCUCACAUGGCAUCAUCUCCAUGAGGUCCCCCCUCACAAUCUGACUUAAUACUUAACCUGCCCCUCACUCCCGUGUUCCUGAUUACCCUCUUCUCUUUUUCUUUUUUUUCCCACAGCACUCAUCAUCUUCUAAAAUAUGAGGGGAUACCACUAACCUGUUGUCAGACACAACUCCUUCAUGGCUUCCUAGCACUGAGCCAUAGAAGAUAUGUUUGUCCUGCCUGUGAAAUUCACAAAAUCCUGCGUCUGCUGCUCCUGAUUUUGAAGAAAACUUCAGAGCUGGAAGUGUGAGAAGAGAAGCCCAACCCUGCGCCAGAAAACUGCAUGAAAACUGCCAUCUAUAAAUCAGAAAGCCAGACACCGCAUCUGCUGGGGCUUUGAUCUUGGACUUCCCAGACUCCAGAACUUUGAGAAAUAAAUGUUUGUUGUUUAUGAGCCAUCAGUCUAUGGUAUUCUGUUACAGCAGCCGGAAUGGACUAAGACAAAUGGCAUAAAUGGAAUAAUCUUCAAGAAAUGAUUAAGUAUAACUUAAUAAAGCAAGGUACAAAGGAAUAUGCUUAGUAUGCUACCAUUUGGUUGAAAAAGGUUGUAUGUAUAUAUGUGCAUAUGUAUCUAUAUGUAUAUAUGUGCAUAUAUAUGUUUGCUACAUCUAUCUAUAUAUCCAUAUCUAUAUCUGUAUCUAUAUAAUUUGUCUAUACAAUGUCUCUGAUAGAAUCCAUAAGAAGUUGUUAACAGUGGUUGUCUCCCAUGAGGAAUGGCUGGGGAAAAGGGUGUAUUAGAAACUCAAUUUUCACUCUCAGCUAUUUUGUGCCAUUUAAAUUUGCAUCAUGUGCCUUAAAAUAUCUAAUAAAAAAGAUAAAUAAAAAGUAUUUACUUUAUUGACCAAAAGAAAAAA